GGUUUAAUUUUUUUUUUCCCCUAAUUAUCCAAGAAACUGCUUCAAGUCUGCAUCACCUUUAACAACUCCGCAAAUCUUUUAAAGAUAUAAUACACUUAAUGUCAGGAUCUCAAAGAGCAUUAUAAGUGCUAAUGAAGCAGUGAUCCCUCAAAUUCACUUGCAGCUCUGAAAGCUCUCAAUGAAGAGGAAACUUCUACUGUUCUGUCCACAUCUUCAAGGAGCUGCCUGUUCACCCAGUGCCACCCUUGUAUAUGUAGCCUCCAACAACCAGUCCAGCCCACCAGUCCGCUGGGGUGAGGAGCACAAGCUCAGCCUUGAAGAACCAUGUUAUCUGAUGGGGAUGGUGCAAGGACACAGGCAGUAAGAUUGCUCUCCUACACUAAGUGACUGAUUCACCUUAUGAC